AGUCUUGACUGGAAUCCAAGCACCCACAGCCGUGCUAUGUGAAAAUGCACGUGAAGAGUGCAUUUCUUCGCAGUCUUUUUUAAAAUGCAUUUGUUUACGACAUUUGAUUUCAAGCAGAAAAUAAUUAUUCUGCCUCUACCUCGCGCGCUGCCUGUUGCUAGGUGCCGAAAGGUACACAACCCGAGGAAGACAUGGCCCCAGACACGAGGCACGACCAAACCACUGCUAAUUAGAGCUGCAGUCGGUACCCAGAGGGCAGAGCAAAAGCCUCCAGAAGAACAUGGAGAUCAGCUUACCUCGUAAAAUUAUGAUGAACACAAUGUCUGGAGUGGCUGCAACUAUCUCGUGACCAUGGGAACAGAAGUGCACGUACUGGGAGACGGACAGAACCUGGGUCCUUGAUUUCAUUAGAGCUGCCUCCCUUGGAACUUCUCAUUAUGCGUG